rnacentral:rRNA from 1 species
CAGCCCCUCGAGUGGUGGGGAUGAUUAUUUGGCCUAAAGCGUCCGUAGCCGGCCGAGUAAGUCCCCCGUUAAAUCCAGCGUCUCAAGCGUUGGACUGCGGGAGAUACUACUUGGCUAGAGAGUGGGAGAGGUCAGCGGUAUUCUGGGGGUAGGGGCGAAAUCCUUUGAUCCCCGGAUGACCACCAGUGGCGAAGGCUGCUGACUAGAACACGUCUGACGGUCAGGGACGAAAGCUGGGGUAGCGAACCGGAUUAGAUACCCGAGUAGUCC